GCCAAUGGCGUAGUUGUUAAAGUGUCUGCCUCGAAUGCGGGAGGUCGCGGGUUCGAACCCCGGCCGGACCA